ensembl:lncRNA
GUGGACACCAUCGGGUGACACCGUUGGGUGACACCAUUGGUUGACACCAUCAGUUGACACCAUUGGUUGACGCCAUCGGGUGACACCAUUGGGUGACACCAUCAGUUGACACCAUGGGGUUGACACCAUCGGGUGACACCAUCGGGUGACACCAUCGGUUGACACCAUUGGGUGACACCAUCAGUUGACAGCAUUGGGUGACACCAUCAGUAGACACCAUUGGGUGACACCAUCGGGUGACAGCAUUGGUUGACAGCAUUGGGUGACACCAUUGGUUGACAGCAUCGGGUGACACUGUUGGGUGACACCAUUGGUUGACACUAUCGAGUGACACCAUCGGGUGACACCAUCGGUUGACACUAUUGGUUGACAGCAUCGGGUGACACCAUUGAUUGACAGCAUUGGGUGACGCCAUCAGUUGACACCCAUCGGUUGACACCGACGCUGACCCCCCUCACAGGUUGCAGUGUUGGUGAUUCUGGCGGUGAUUCUGGCGGUGAUUCUGGCGUUGUUUGUGGCGGCGGUGAUUCCCGCGGUCCGGGUGUUGCCGGUUCGGGUGUUGCGGGUGCGGGUGACGCCAUGGCGGCGGUGCGGGCGCAGCUGGAGGCGCUGGUGGAGGCGGCGGACGCGCUGGUGGCCCACGGGCAGCACGGGGUCUACGGGGACAGCAGGGAGAGGCUGCAGCUCCGACUCAACGCCCUGCGGGGGGCGGCCGCCAACAGCAGCACAUCACUGCGGCGCCGCGACGGUGACGACGAUGACGGUGGUGACGGUGGGGGUGACGACAGUGGUGCCAUCCGUGCACAAGCGGAGCCGAUUGACAUGUUUGCCGAGGAGGAGGACAACAAACAGGCGCUGGAGGACCGAGCGGUGUUGGAGGACCGAGCGCCGGAGGACAAACAGGCGCUGGAGGACCGAGCGCUGGAGGACCGAGUGGCCCUGGAGGACCGAAAGCUGGAGGACCAACAGGCGGUGGAGGACCGAGCGGUGUUGGAGGACCAGGCGGAGGAAGUGAUGUGGGAGUACAAAUGGGAGGAGAGCGCCCAACUCUACGGCCCCUUCAGCAGCGCACAGAUGCAGGUGGGAACCCCAAAAAUGGGGCUGGGACCCCAAAAAAUGGGCCUGGGACCCCAAAAAUUGGGCUGGGACCCCAAAAAAUGGGCCUGGGACCCCAAAAAUAGUGCUAGGAACCACAAAAAUUGGGGCUGGGAACUCCAAAUUUGGGGCUGGGACCCCAGAAAUGGGGACGGGAACCCCAAAAAUGGGGCUGGGAAUCCCAAAAAAUGGUUCUGGGACCCCAAAAAUGGGGCUGGGAAUCCCAAAAAUGAGGCAGGGAAACCCGAAUUUGGGUCCCCAUUUUUGGGUUCAAUUCCACCAAUUUUGGUCUCAGAUCCCCCAAUUUUAGGUUCGGAUCCCCCAUUUUUGGGUUCAGAUCCCCAUUUUUGGGCUCAGAUCCUCCAAUUUUGGGUUCAAAUCCCCCAUUUUUGGUCCCAGAUCCCCAUUUUUAAUUUUGGUCUCAUUUCCCCAAUUUUGGUCUCAUUUCCCCCAAUUUUGGGUUCAAAUCCCCCAAUUUUGGGUUCAGAUCCCCCAAUUUUGGGCUCAUUUCCCCCAUUUUUGGUCUCAGAUCCCCCAAUUUUGGGCUCAGAUUCUUGAGUUUUGGGUUUAAUUCCCCCAAUUUUGGGCUCUGGUCCCCCAUUUUUGGGCUCAGAUCUCCCAAUUUUGGGCUCAAUUCCCCCAUUUUUGGGUUCAGAUCCCCCAAUUUUAGGUUCAAAUCCCCAUUUUUGGGUUCAAAUCCCCAAUUUUUGGUCUCAGAUCCCCAUUUUUGGUCUCAGAUCCCCAAUUUUGGGCUCAAUUCCCCCAUUUUUGGGUUCAGAUCCCCCAAUUUUGGUCUCAUUUCCCCCAAUUUUGGGCUCAAUUCCCCCAAUUUUGGGUUCAAUUCCCCAAUUUUGGGUUCAAUUCCCCCAAUUUUGGUCUCAGAUCCCCAAUUUUGGGUUCAAUUCCCCCAAUUUUGGUCCCAGAUCCCCAAUUUUGGGCUCAAAUCCCCCAAUUUUGGUCUCAGAUCCUCAAUUUUGGGUUCAAUUCCCCCAAUUUUGGUCUCAUUUCCCCAAUUUUGGGCUCAUUUCCCCAAUUUUGGGCUCAGAUCCCCCAUUUUUGGGGUCAAUUCCC